rnacentral:misc_RNA from 1 species
GAUGAAGAACGUAGCGAAAUGCGAUACUUGGUGUGAAUUGCAGAAUCCCGUGAACCAUCGAGUCUUUGAACGCAAGUUGCGCACGAAGCCAUUAGGCCGAGGGCACGCCUGCCUGGGUGUCACACGUCGUUGCCCCCCCAUCUACUCCUUCGGGAUUGCGGGGGGCGGAUGAUGGCCUCCCGUGCGCCUCGUCGCGCGGUUGGCAUAAAUGCCAAGUCCUCGGCGACGCACGCCACGACAAUCGGUGGUUGCGAAACCUCGGUUGCCCGUCGUGUGCGGUCGUCGCGCAUCGAGGGCUCGAAAAAAUUGCCGGGCUCCGGCUCGGCUUUCAACGCGACCCCAGGUCAGGCGGGGUUACCCGCUGAAUUUAAGCAUAUCAAUAAGCGGAGGA